UAGGGAAUCUUCCGCAAUGGACGAAAGUCUGACGGAGCAACGCCGCGUGAGUGAAGAAGGAUUUCGGUUCGUAAAACUCUGUUGUUAGGGAAGAAAAAAUGUAUAGUAACUAUAUACAAAAGAGACGGUACCUAACCAGAAAGCCACGGCUAACUACGUGCCAGCAGCCGCGGUAAUACGUAGGUGGCAAGCGUUGUCCGGAAUUAUUGGGCGUAAAGCGCGCGCAGGUGGUUUAGAAAGUCUGAUGUGAAAGCCCACGGCUCAACCGUGGAGGGUCAUUGGAAACUAAUAAACUUGAGUGCAGGAGAGAAAAGUGGAAUUCCUAGUGUAACGGUGAAAUGCGUAGAGAUUAGGAGGAACACCGGUGGCGAAAGCGGCUUUUUGGCCUGCAACUGACACUGAGGCGCGAAAGCGUGGGGAGCAAACAGG
rnacentral:rRNA from 1 species